rnacentral:rRNA from 1 species
GAUGAACGCUGGCGGCGUGCCUAACACAUGCAAGUCGAACGGAGAUUACGGACGGAAGUUUUCGGAUGGAAGUCUGUAAUUCUUAGUGGCGGACGGGUGAGUAACGCGUGGGCAACCUGCCCUAUACAGGGGGAUAGCAGCUGGAAACGGCUGGUAAGACCGCAUAAGUCGGUUAAAUCGCAUGAUUUGAUCGGGAAAUGAGCAAUCAGGUAUAGGAUGGGCCCGCGUCCGAUUAGCCAGUUGGCAGGGUAAAAGCCUACCAAAGCGACGAUCGGUGGCCGGACUGAGAGGUCGGACGGCCACAUUGGGACUGAGACACGGCCCAAACUCCUACGGGAGGCAGCAGUGGGGGAUAUUGCACAAUGGAGGAAACUCUGAUGCAGCGACGCCGCGUGAGUGAAGAAGUAUUUCGGUAUGUAAAGCUCUAUCAGCAGGGAAGAUGAUGACGGUACCUGACUAAGAAGCCCCGGCUAACUACGUG